GAUGAACGCUGGCGGCGUGCCUAAUACAUGCAAGUCGAGCGAACAGACGAGGAGCUUGCUCCUUUGAUGUUAGCGGCGGACGGGUGAGUAACACGUAGGUAACCUACCUAUAAGACUGGGAUAACUUCGGGAAACCGGAGCUAAUACCGGAUAAUAUUUCGAACCGCAUGGUUCGAUAGUGAAAGAUGGCUUUGCUAUCACUUAUAGAUGGACCUGCGCCGUAUUAGCUAGUUGGUAAGGUAACGGCUUACCAAGGCAACGAUACGUAGCCGACCUGAGAGGGUGAUCGGCCACACUGGAACUGAGACACGGCCCAAACUCCUACGGGAGGCAGCAGUAGGGAAUCUUCGGCAAUGGACGAAAGUCUGACCGAGCAACGCCGCGUGAGUGAAGAAGGUUUUCGGAUCGUAAAACUCUGUUGGUAGAGAAGAACGUUGGUGAGAGUGGAAAGCUCAUCAAGUGACGGUAACUACCCAGAAAGGGACGGCUAACUACGUG
rnacentral:rRNA from 1 species